GACGAAAGCUGGCGGCAGGCCUAACACAUGCAAGUCGAACGAAGUCUUCGGACUUAGUGGCGCACGGGUGAGUAACACGUGGGAAUAUACCUUACGCUGGGGGAUGACAUCGGGAAACUGAUGCUAAUACCGCAUACGCCCUUCGGGGGAAAGAUUUAUCGGCGAAAGAUUAGCCCGCGUCCGAUUAGCUAGUUGGUGAGGUAAUGGCUCACCAAGGCUCCGAUCGGUAGCUGGUCUGAGAGGAUGACCAGCCACACUGGGACUGAGACACGGCCCAGACUCCUACGGGAGGCAGCAGUGGGGAAUAUUGGACAAUGGGCGCAAGCCUGAUCCAGCCAUGCCGCGUGAGUGAUGAAGGCCUUAGGGUUGUAAAGCUCUUUCACCCACGACGAUGAUGACGGUAGUGGGAGAAGAAGCCCCGGCUAACUUCGUGCCAGCCGCCGCGGUAA
rnacentral:rRNA from 1 species